rnacentral:rRNA from 1 species
GCGAACGCUGGCGGCGCGCCUAACACAUGCAAGUCGAACGAAGUGGCGAACGGGUGAGUAACGCGUGAGGAACCUGCCUCAAAGAGGGGGACAACAGUUGGAAGCGACUGCUAAUACCGCAUACUUUGAGAUGGCCUCGCGUCCGAUUAGCUAGUUGGUGAGGUAAUGGCCCACCAAGGCGACGAUCGGUAGCCGGACUGAGAGGUUGAACGGCCACAUUGGGACUGAGACACGGCCCAGACUCCUACGGGAGGCAGCAGUGGGGAAUAUUGCACAAUGGGGGAAACCCUGGUGCAGCGACGCCGCGUGGAGGAAGAAGGUCUUCGGAUUGUAAACUCCUGUUGUUGAGGAAGCGGUACUCAACAAGGAAGUGACGGCUAACUACGUGCCAGCAGCCGCGGUAAAACGUAGGUCACAAGCGUUGUCCGGAAUUACUGGGUGUAAAGGGAGCGCAGGCGGGAAGACAAGUUGGAAGUGAAAUCCAUGGGCUCAACCCAUGAACUGCUUUCAAAACUGUUUUUCUUGAGUAGUGCAGAGGUAGGCGGAAUUCCCGGUGUAGCGGUGGAAUGCGUAGAUAUCGGGAGGAACACCAGUGGCGAAGGCGGCCUACUGGGCACCAACUGACGCUGAGGCUCGAAAGUGUGGGUAGCAAACAGGAUUAGAUACCCUGGUAGUCCACACUGUAAACGAUGAUUACUAGGUGUUGGACAGUGCCGCAGUUAACACAAUAAGUAAUCCACCUGGGGAGUACGACCGCAAGGUUGCAACUCAAAUGAAUUGACGGA